AGGAUUAACGCUGGCGGCGUGCAUGAAACAUGCAAGUCGAGCGCGGCGCGUGGCUUCGGUCACGCGUCUAGCGGCGCACGGGUGAGUAACACGUGAGCAACCUACCUUCGAGUUCGGGAUAGCCCUGGGAAACCAGGAUUAAUACCGGAUGUGGUCACAACGGGACAUCCCGAUGUGAAAAAAGGCGCAAGCCGCUCGAUGACGGGCUCGCGGCCUAUUAGCUUGUUGGUGGGGUAACGGCCUACCAAGGCGACGAUGGGUAGCUGGUCUGAGAGGACGAUCAGCCACACUGGGACUGAGACACGGCCCAGACUCCUACGGGAGGCAGCAGUUAGGAAUUUUCCGCAAUGGGCGAAAGCCUGACGGAGCAACGCCGCGUGUGUGAUGAAGGCCUUCGGGUUGUAAAGCACUGUCGGAGGGAAGAAUGAAUGACGGUACCUCCAACGAAGACCCGGCUAACUACGUGCCAGCAGCCGCGGU
rnacentral:rRNA from 1 species